AUGUUGUGGCACUGUAGCUUUUUGUUUCUUAGAGAAUUAGGAAAAACAAGAGCGGGGCCGGUCUUCAGGUUAAAUUUUAAGGUGCCCUGGCUGAGGACGGAGUCCAUUCAGAUGGUCGCCCAUUCAGAUGGUUGUGGGGGGGGGUCUUCAAAUUUUAUUUUUGGUUUACAAAACAGAAAAUGGAAGCACCUUGCUUCCCACUUGAAAGCCUUUUUCAUGAGACACACUACCAUUAAAUUACAUGGGAUACAAAACAAAGCUAUGAUGGGAAAGAAAUACACUCUACAACAUCUUUUAUGCAGUUAGUAAUUAUGGGAAGCAUUUUAUUCUGCAAAGGAAUUCCACGCCCUAUAAAUGUAAAGUAUUAGUUUGUCAUCUCCAGGCAAUCAGCAUUCUCAUAAACAGUGAGAGAAGAAAUACAGAAUACAGGAUCCAGCACAGUUGAGGGAUUCUGGCUUGCCAGACUUAUCUUUGCUUACUUCUUUGUACAGACUUAGUUCUAUGCCAAAAGUAUCUUCAAAAAGUUCCUUGGAAGGGUAAAAUCAACCACCUCUACUUAUGAUUUCCAUGAAUCUCUGGAGUGCAUAAGCACAAUUCCAAGUCAUGUUCUAAUUCAGUUCAAAAAAAAAAAACCUGGUAUCUUUGAGCAGUGGUCUCAAACAUCACAAUCACUUUAAAAUGACCUGAAAGCCUUGUGAAAACAGAAAUUGCUGGGCUCCAGCAGAUUUCUGACUCAACGGGUCUGGGGUGGUGCCUGGGAAUUUGCAUUUCUAACUAAAGUUCCCAGGUCAUGCUGAUGUUGCCAGUCCAGAGACCACAAUUCGAGAUCCACUGAGACCCGCUGUGCUAUCCAGAACUUUUGCUGGUUUCCUCCAAGUCAUGAUAUCAUGAUACCUCAGGGAUCUCUCUGCAACACCUCUACUGAGGAGCUCUACCAUUAAACUGGGCUAUGCUUAGUGAAGGUUGGUCCAAGAAUGUAACCGGGACUGUUGAAAUUUCAGCACCACAGCCUUUUUUUAUGACUGAAAUAAUGAAAAUUCUGAUCGGACCCCUGCUUGCUGGUACAUUUUAACCACUCGCUUUUUGCCCAAUUCUCCUUGUUUCCACAACAUAAUUAUAAACUGCAGAUGUACUGCUUCCUUCUCAAGCACAAAGAGGUAACUUCAGGGUCACAAAAAUGUGUGUGGAAGGGAUGAAUACCUCGAAGGGCAUUGUGACCAGCUGCUGAUGCCUAGACGUCUGAUUGGGUUGUUAUCUGAGACUGAAGAAACAGCCUUUUCCCCUGUAUUCUUUGAAACUCCCCAUCUCUCAUUUUCCAGCAGUAUAAAAACUCCCUUUUUUUUCCUUUUUUUUUUUUUGAUGUAGAAUUGUUUUGUGUUCCUCAUGCUACAACACAACCUUCAAAGUCAGCCACGUAUAUAACAUUAAUAUGAGUCCUCAAAACAUCAACUUAGAUAACCCAUAGCCAGAGGUUCUAAAUUGCUACAAUACAACUUCAACAUUCAAAAGAGUACAAUAAUGUGCUUCAAAUCCCAUCUCAAUGCAAAUUUAAGAAAAGCAAAGCAAACUGUAUUACCAUACUACCAAAACUCAGUAAGAUUCUGUAAUUUAAUAUACCUACUUCUCAGCGCUCUAAAUUUCUCAACACUAGGGAGAGUUUUUGAAGGUAUCGAUGCCUGAAUUCUUCUCCAAGCCAAUGAAAUCAGAACAGUUAAAUCAGAAUCUCUGUGGGGCAUCUUGACUCACUUACUGCUUUCUAACACCUUUUACCUUUGGGCCUUUUCAAAUGUCCAAAAAGUAGUAAUAUUACCAUCUGUGUUAUGAUCAUAAUAUAACACCUAAGAAAAAACAAAAUGAAGACUUAGAAAGAUAUUUGUUACUCAUUUAGAAUUAUUUGGUAUAACAGUAUUUUCCAAUGGAGGAAGACUAUUGGAUUUCAGGCAUAAAACAAUGCAAAAAAAAUCUCAAGACAUCACAGGGAAAGGAAGGUAACUUCUGACUCUGGUUUCCCAUGUUUCAGGCCAGGAAAAGCAAGGAAGAAAAAGAUUUCUCCUUGGCAACAAGUACUCAUGUUCUAAAGAACAAUUUUAUUUCAACCCAUUAAUUUCCUUUUCAUGCAAAAUUGCAAAGAUAAAGCAACAUAAAAUAUGAGGCUAAAGAAAAGGGAGAAGGUUUUCAAGUCUGUCAAAACAGAGAUUCAGUCCAACAUCAUGCCAAUUUUUAUAUUAAUUGUAGUCCCUAAGUUUUCAUAACCAAAAAAAAAAUGAGAAUAACCUUAUAGCUAUCUACUAAGGUAACAAAUUGUAAAUAAAUUCCCCAAUAUUUGCUUUGAAAAUAAAUCCCUUGGUUGUUAAGAGAAAUUUCAACUUCCAACUCCAUCCAAAUUUAGUAUU
rnacentral:lncRNA from 1 species